rnacentral:rRNA from 1 species
UACGUAGGGUGCAAGCGUUUAAUCGGAAUUACUGGGCGUAAAGCGUGCGCAGGCGGUGAUGUAAGACAGGUGUGAAAUCCCCGGGCAUUAACCUGGGAACUGCAUUUGUGACUGCAUCGCUGGAGUGCGGCAGAGGGGGAUGGAAUUCCGCGUGUAGCAGUGAAAUGCGUAGAUAUGCGGAGGAACACCGAUGGCGAAGGCAAUCCCCUGGGAUAACACUGACGCUCAUGCACGAAAGCGUGGGGAGCAAACAGG